rnacentral:pre_miRNA from 1 species
AGUGGGAUAGGUGGGUCAGAUGGCGGUUCCAUUCCAAGUUUUCUGAGGAAUCUCCAUACUGCUUUCCAGAGUGGUUGCACCAAUUUGCAGUCCCACCAGCAAU